GUGCUCGCUUCGGCAGCACAUGUACUAAAAUUAGAAUGAUACAGAGAAGAUUAGCAAGCCACUAGGCCGUGAUGGUUGUAUUUUUUGAAAUGUAUUUAUAUAGUAU